ACKGCUCAGUAACACGUGGACAACCUACCCUCAGCACGGGGAUAAACCCGGGAAACUGGGUAUAAUACCCGAUAGAACUGGGAUGCUGGAAUGCUUCCAGGUCGAAAGCUCCGGCGACUGAGGAUGGGUCUGCGGCCUAUCAGGUAGUAGUGAGUGUAACGUACCUACUAGCCUACGACGGGUACGGGUUGUGAGAGCAAGAGCCCGGAGAUGGAUUCUGAGACACGAAUCCAGGCCCUACGGGGUGCAGCAGGCGCGAAAACUUUACAAUGCUGGCAACAGCGAUAAGGGGACCUCGAGUGCCAGGAUACAAUCUUGGCUGUCGUGAUGCCUAAAAAGCAUUGCAUAGCAAGGGCCGGGCAAGACCGGUGCCAGCCGCCGCGGUAACACCGGCGGCUCGAGUGGUAACCGCUAUUAUUGGGUCUAAAGGGUCUGUAGCCGGCCGGAUAAGUCUUUUGGGAAAUCCAGCUGCUCAACAGUUGGGCUUUCAGAAGAUACUGUUCGGCUCGAGGCCGGGAGAGGUGAGAGGUACUUCAGGGGUAGGGGUGAAAUCUUGUAAUCCUUGAAGGACCACCAGUGGCGAAGGCGUCUCACCAGAACGGACCUGACGGCAAGGGACGAAAGCUAGGGGCACGAACCGGAUUAGAUACCCGGGUAGUCCUAGCCGUAAACGAUACUCGCUAGGUGUCGGCCACGGUGCGACCGUGGUCGGUGCCGUAGGGAAGCCGUGGAGCGAGCCACCUGGGAAGUACGGCCGCAAGGCUGAAACUUAAAGGAAUUGGCGGGGGAGCAC
rnacentral:rRNA from 1 species